rnacentral:rRNA from 1 species
CCUACGGGAGGCAGCAGUGAGGAAUAUUGGUCAAUGGGCGCGAGCCUGAACCAGCCAAGUCGCGUGAGGGAAGACGGCCCUACGGGUUGUAAACCUCUUUUGCCGGGGAGCAACGGGCGCCACGUGUGGCGCCACUGAGAGUACCCGGCGAAAAAGCAUCGGCUAACUCCGUGCCAGCAGCCGCGGUACUACGGAGGAUGCGAGCGUUAUCCGGAUUUAUUGGGGUUAAAGGGGUCGUAGGCGGAGCGUUAAUUCAGUGGUCAAAUUGAGGGGCUCAACCCCUUCCCGCCAUUGAAACUGGCGCUCUUGAGUGGAAGAGAAGUAUGCGGAAUGCGUGGUGUAGCGGUGAAAUGCAUAGAUAUAAGGAAGAACACCGAUUGCGAAGGCAGCAUGCCGGCUUCCGACUGACGCUGAAGCACGAAAGCGUGGGGAUCGAACAGGAUUAGAUACCCUUGUAGUC